GUGCUUGCUUCAUUAAUAUAUAUACUAAAAUUGGAACAGUACAGAGAUCAACAUGGUCCAUGUGCAACGGUGGUUCACACAUUUGUGAAUCAUUCCGUAUUUUU
ensembl:snRNA U6 U6 spliceosomal RNA